AUUGAACGCUGGCGGCAGGCCUAACACAUGCAAGUCGAACGAGUGGCGGACGGGUGAGUAAUGUCUGGGAAACUGCCUGAUGGAGGGGGAUAACUACUGGAAACGGUAGCUAAUACCGCAUACCCUCAGAUGUGCCCAGAUUGGAUUAGCUUGUUGGUGGGGUAACGGCUCACCAAGGCGACGUUCCCUAGCUGGUCUGAGAGGAUGACCAGCCACACUGGACCGAGGACACGGUCCAGACCCCUACGGAAGGCACCAGUGGGGAAUAUUGCCCAAUGGGCGCAAGCCUGAUGCAGCCAUGCCGCGUGUAUGAAGAAGGCCUUCGGUUUGUAAAGUACUUUCAGCGGGGAGGCGUUACCCGCAGAAGAAGCACCGGCUAACUCCGUGCCAGCAGCCGCGGUAAUUC
rnacentral:rRNA from 1 species